rnacentral:lncRNA from 1 species
AGUAUUAUAUAUUGUAACCAUAGUUAGUUAAUUCGGAUUCGGCAAAAAUUCGGUACGGAUAUAAUUCGAAUAAAAUUCGUUUUCUAAUUUUUAAAUUCGUUGAAAAAUACGGCUAAAAAACGGAUUUGUCAAUUAUUCGGAUACGUGAUUUAUACGGAUAUUAUACGUUCACCAAUUAAAAAUUCGGGAUCAAAAAUUCGACUAUUAAAUUAAAUUUGUUUUCUUUAAAGAUUUAUACUAUUAGUAUAAAUAUUUAUAUUUCUUAAGAAUAUAAGAAUAAAGAGCUACAAAAUUAAGUUAAUCAAGUAAAAAAAAAUAGCAAACUGUAUUAUACCUGAAAAUAAAUAAAUAAAUAAAGCAAAUAAGAAAUUAAGAUAGUCUAUAAAAAAUUAAAU